UACGAAGGGGGCUAGCGUUGCUCGGAAUCACUGGGCGUAAAGGGUGCGUAGGCGGUUUUUUAAGUCAGGGGUGAAAUCCUGGAGCUCAACUCCAGAACUGCCUUUGAUACUGAAGAUCUUGAGUCCGGGAGAGGUGAGUGGAACUGCGAGUGUAGAGGUGAAAUUCGUAGAUAUUCGCAAGAACACCAGUGGCGAAGGCGGCUCACUGGCCCGGUACUGACGCUGAGGAGCGAAAGCGUGGGGAGCGAACAGG
rnacentral:rRNA from 1 species